UACGUAGGGUGCGAGCGUUGUCCGGAAUUAUUGGGCGUAAAGAGCUCGUAGGCGGUUUGUCACGUCUGCUGUGAAAUCCCGAGGCUCAACCUCGGGCCUGCAGUGGGUACGGGCAGACUGGAGUGCGGUAGGGGAGAAUGGAAUUCCUGGUGUAGCGGUGGAAUGCGCAGAUAUCAGGAGGAACACCGAUGGCGAAGGCAGUUCUCUGGGCCGAAACUGACGCUGAGGAGCGAAAGCAUGGGUAGCAAACAGG
rnacentral:rRNA from 1 species